rnacentral:rRNA from 1 species
GACGAACGCUGGCGGCGUGCUUAACACAUGCAAGUCGAACGGUAAGGCCCUUCGGGGUACACGAGUGGCGAACGGGUGAGUAACACGUGGGUGAUCUGCCCUGCACUUCGGGAUAAGCCUGGGAAACUGGGUCUAAUACCGGAUAGGACCACUGCCUGCAUGGGUGGUGGGGGAAAGCUUUUGCGGUGUGGGAUGGGCCCGCGGCCUAGCAGCUUGUUGGUGGGGUGAUGGCCUACCAAGGCGACGACGGGUAGCCGGCCUGUGAGGGUGACCGGCCACACUGGGACUGAGAUACGGCCCAGACUCCUACGGGAGGCAGCGGUGGGGAAUAUUGCACAAUGGGCGCAAGCCUGAUGCAGCGACGCCGCGUGAGGGAUGACGGCCUUCGGGUUGUAAACCUCUUUCAGCACCGACGAAGCGCAAGUGACGGUAGGUGCAGAAGAAGGACCGGCCAACUACGUGCCAGCAGCCGCAGUAA